rnacentral:rRNA from 1 species
UGGGGAAUAUUGGACAAUGGGGGCAACCCUGAUCCAGCAAUGCCGCGUGAGUGAUGAAGGCCUUCGGGUUGUAAAGCUCUUUUGUUAGGGAAGAUAAUGACGGUACCUAACGAAUAAGCUCCGGCUAACUUCGUGCCAGCAGCCGCGGUAAUACGAAGGGAGCUAGCGUUGUUCGGAAUUACUGGGCGUAAAGGGCGCGUAGGCGGUUAUCUAAGUCAGAUGUGAAAGCCUUGGGCUUAACCUAAGAAUUGCAUUUGAUACUGGAUAACUAGAGAUCGAGAGAGGAAAGUGGAAUUACGAGUGUAGAGGUGAAAUUCGUAGAUAUUCGUAAGAACACCAGUGGCGAAGGCGGCUUUCUGGCUCGAUACUGACGCUAAGGCGCGAAAGCGUGGGGAGCAAACAGG